ACGUCUAAGCAGUAAGGCUGAGUAUUAGGCAAAUCCGGUACUCAUUAAGGCUGAGCUGUGAUGGGGAGAAGACAUUGUGUCUUCGAGUCGUUGAUUUCACACUGCCGAGAAAAGCCUCUAGAUAGAAAAUAGGUGCCCGUACCGCAAACCGACACAGGUAGUCAAGAUGAGAAUUCUAAGGUGAGCGAGCGAACUCUCGUUAAGGAACUCGGCAAAAUGACCCCGUAACUUCGGGAGAAGGGGUGCUCUUUAGGGUUAACGCCCAGAAGAGCCGCAGUGAAUAGGCCCAAGCGACUGUUUAUCAAAAACACAGGUCUCUGCUAAACCGUAAGGUGAUGUAUAGGGGCUGACGCCUGCCCGGUGCUGGAAGGUUAAGAGGAGUGGUUAGCUUCUGCGAAGCUACGAAUCGAAGCCCCAGUAAACGGCGGCCGUAACUAUAACGGUCCUAAGGUAGCGAAAUUCCUUGUCGGGUAAGUUCCGACCCGCACGAAAGGCGUAACGAUUUGGGCACUGUCUCAACGAGAGACUCGGUGAAAUCAUAGUACCUGUGAAGAUGCAGGUUACCCGCGACAGGACGGAAAGACCCCGUGGAGCUUUACUGUAGCCUGAUAUUGAAAUUCGGCACAGCUUGUACAGGAUAGGUAGGAGCCUUUGAAACGUGAGCGCUAGCUUACGUGGAGGCGCUGGUGGGAUACUACCCUAGCUGUGUUGGCUUUCUAACCCGCACCACUUAUCGUGGUGGGAGACAGUGUCAGGCGGGCAGUUUGACUGGGGCGGUCGCCUCCUAAAAGGUAACGGAGGCGCUCAAAGGUUCCCUCAGAAUGGUUGGAAAUCAUUCAUAGAGUGUAAAGGCAUAAGGGAGCUUGACUGCGAGACCUACAAGUCGAGCAGGGUCGAAAGACGGACUUAGUGAUCCGGUGGUUCCGCAUGGAAGGGCCAUCGCUCAACGGAUAAAAGCUACCCCGGGGAUAACAGGCUUAUCUCCCCCAAGAGUUCACAUCGACGGGGAGGUUUGGCACCUCGAUGUCGGCUCAUCGCAUCCUGGGGCUGUAGUCGGUCCCAAGGGUUGGGCUGUUCGCCCAUUAAAGCGGUACGCGAGCUGGGUUCAGAACGUCGUGAGACAGUUCGGUCCCUAUCCGUCGUGGGCGUAGGAAAUUUGAGAGGAGCUGUCCUUAGUACGAGAGGACCGGGAUGGACAUACCUCUGGUGUACCAGUUGUCGUGCCAACGGCAUAGCUGGGUAGCUAUGUGUGGACGGGAUAAGUGCUGAAAGCAUCUAAGCAUGAAGCCCCCCUCAAGAUGAGAUUUCCCAACUUCGGUUAUAAGAUCCCUCAAAGAUGAUGAGGUUAAUAGGUUCGAGGUGGAAGCAUGGUGACAUGUGGAGCUGACGAAUACUAAUCGAUCGAAGACUUAAUCAA
rnacentral:rRNA from 1 species